CCAGGGGAUAUUGUUGACAAGGAUGCAACUUCACCUAAACCCAAUCACUUAUGAUUCAGGCCUUAGUAGAGUGAAAGCAGUGGUAGUGGACGAUUUACCGAUGAACGUGAUUGACCAACCAUGAUAAGAUCUUUGUUGUAAUGCGGACUUAUGAAUAUUUUAUAUUCUUGGUUUGUAAUAUAUUUGUGUGAGACAGACGAUAUGAUAAACUUAUAGUAUUUCAUUGGAGAAAUAGAGCUUCCAUCCCAA